rnacentral:tRNA from 1 species
CUGGAUGUAGUUCAGUUGGUAGAACGCCGCAUUUGUGAUGCGGAGGCCGUGAGUUCAAGUCUCACCAUUCAGA